rnacentral:lncRNA from 10 species
CGCCUGCUGUUUCCGCUGUGGUGAAAGCUUAUGGACCCUCACAUAGCCCAGUUCUAGAACUUAAUCCAUUCACGUGUCGUUUUUCCCUGUCAAAACACAAACUGAGCACCCUGUGUACUUUGGGAACCUCAAGAGGGUUCCAGUCUCCAGUCUGGGGAGCUAUUGGGCUCAUAGUUCCAUGUUUAUAAGAUGAUAACAGAUGUUGACUGGGUUGAUAAUUUAGCCUUUCCUGUGCUAUGUGUCUGUUCUUCAGUUGCCAGAUUUUAGAUUCUCCCUGAUGACUGACUGACUUCAUCUCUUCUUUUUCCUUUUGUCUUGGAGGUGACAUUUUAAAAUUACAGUCUUAUCACAAAAAUAUCAUUGUUCAUAUCAUAAGAAGGGGUGGUGAGGUUCUUACAAAGCCUUUAAAAUGUUCUUUUCUUUUUGUAGAGACAGUGCCAGUCGUCCUGAUUCAUUGAGUGCUGGGAUCAUGUCUUAGGUCCUCUCUGUCCCCUCUGAACAGGUCGUGUACAGGAUCUUAGAUACCUGAAAUCCUCACUGAACCCUGGGUCCUCUGCUCUGGAUCAUGGACUCUUGUUUCUGCUGG